rnacentral:rRNA from 1 species
UACGUAGGUGGCAAGCGUUGUCCGGAUUUAUUGGGUUUAAAGGGUGCGUAGGCGGCCUUAUAAGUCAGUGGUGAAAUACGGCAGCUCAACUGUCGAGGUGCCAUUGAUACUGUAGGACUUGAGUACAGACGAGGUAGGCGGAAUUGACGGUGUAGCGGUGAAAUGCUUAGAUAUCGUCAAGAACACCGAUAGCGAAGGCAGCUUACUAGGCUGUAACUGACGCUGAGGCACGAAAGUGUGGGGAUCAAACAGG